rnacentral:rRNA from 1 species
UACGUAGGGUCCGAGCGUUAAUCGGAAUUACUGGGCGUAAAGCGUGCGCAGGCGGUUUUGUAAGCCAGAUGUGAAAGCCCCGGGCUUAACCUGGGAAUGGCAUUUGGGACUGCAAGGCUGGAGUACGGCAGAGGGAGGUGGAAUUCCAGGUGUAGCAGUGAAAUGCGUAGAUAUCUGGAGGAACACCGAUGGCGAAGGCAGCCUCCUGGGCUAGUACUGACGCUCAUGCACGAAAGCCAGGGGAGCGAACGGG